rnacentral:ncRNA from 1 species
GUGAAAAGCGCCUGAGCCUUUGCUUCGGAAUAUGAUGAUGCUUUUACCGGGGAAAGGCUGACGAGGAUGGAAGUUUAUCGAAUGAAUCGGCGGAUGCUUCCCGGCUUUGCAGAGAAGCUGCAUAUCGGCAUACAAAGUCUCCGGGUAACCGGAGGUACAGAAG